CAGUCGCCGCGGUAAUACGAAGGGUGCAAGCGUUACUCGGAAUUACUGGGCGUAAAGCGUGCGUAGGUGGUGGUUUAAGUCCGUUGUGAAGGCCCUGGGCUCAACCUGGGAAUUGCAGUGGAUACUGGGUCACUAGAGUGUGGUAGAGGAUAGUGGAAUUUCCGGUGUAGCAGUGAAAUGCGUAGAGAUCGGAAGGAACAUCUGUGGCGAAGGCGACUAUCUGGGCCAACACUGACACUGAGGCACGAAAGCGUGGGGAGCAAACAGGAUUAGAUACCCCCGUAGUCCCUGUCUCUUAUAC
rnacentral:rRNA from 1 species